ensembl:ncRNA lncRNA:CR44751 long non-coding RNA:CR44751
UCACCGAGACUCAACAGCUUUUUGGUUUGUUCAGAUCGACUUGUCACCAUGGCGCGCACUGCCAGUAAGCGGAUUCUGCCACGGAUUAAUGUCGAUCACUCCGGCAAUCUUGUAAGCCGCCCGCUUUCGGAGGCAAGCAACAAGCAACUGGACAACAUCACCACCCAGAAAUAGUGUUUUUUAAGUGCGAUCCACUCAAAAAAAAAUGAGAAUAGUAUUAUAGUAUUAUAUUUGAAUACUCUUCCGCAUUUUUAUAGACAUAGAAAAUUUACUUUUAUGGUGCCUUGUUCAAGAAUCCGGAGGUGCGAGAUCGUUCAACGCCUCUUCUCGAACAAAUUGCAGUUUUGCGUUUAUUGGGCGAGGGUGGGGUCACGUUUGGCGGCUUGGUUCGUUAGCACACUUGCGGUUGUUGCUAAGUUAACAAAGACACUCCACGGAAACCCGAAAAAUUGAAAUCGAAAAACUGGCAGCCUGGCGAACGAAAAAAAAAUAAAGAAAAUAAACUAACCGACGCCAUAGGGCGGCUGACAACAAAGCCAACGGCCACAGAACUCGCAGCACUUGUUAGCUCUCGGAAUUUGAAAAUGCAACAUAAUUGCGCUGAUUAUGAGCCACCAUAAAAUGCCAUUAACAAGGCAUCAUCUCGGCCUUCCGAG